UACGUAGGGUGCGAGCGUUGUCCGGAAUUAUUGGGCGUAAAGGGCUCGUAGGCGGUUUGUCGCGUCGGGAGUGAAAACCUCAGGCUUAACUCGGGGCUUGCUUUCGAUACGGGCAGACUGGAGGUAUGCAGGGGAGAACGGAAUUCCUGGUGUAGCGGUGAAAUGCGCAGAUAUCAGGAGGAACACCGGUGGCGAAGGCGGUUCUCUGGGCAUGACCUGACGCUGAGGAGCGAAAGUGUGGGGAGCGAACAGG
rnacentral:rRNA from 1 species